rnacentral:rRNA from 1 species
CAGCGGCGUGCUUUAGCUGCAUGUGGGACGCGCUCCGCAAGGAGCGAGUCGCGAACGGCUGAGUAAAAGAUAGGAAUCUACCUCUUGAUGAGGGAUACCUACUCGAAAGAGUAGCUAAUACCGCAUAAGACCGUGAGGUGAAAGCGCGUAACUGCGCGUCGAGAGAUGAGCCUAUCACCCAUCAGGCAGUUGGUAGGGUAAUGGCCUACCAAACCUACGACGGGUAGGGGACGUGAGAGCGUGACCCCCCAGAAUGGGACUGUGACACGGCCCAUACACCUACGGGUGGCAGCAACUGGGAAUCGUGCGCAAUGGACGAAAGUCUGACGCCGCGACGCCGCGUGUGGGAUUAAGGCCUUCGGGUCGUAAACCACUUUUGUCGGGGACUAAGAAGCCCGAAGAAUAAGCACCUGCUAACUCUGUGCCAGCAGCAGCGGUAAGACAGAGGGUGCAAGCGUUAUCCGGAUUUACUGGGCGUAAAGCGUUUCGUAGGCGACUAGAUAAGUUACACUUCAAAGACCAGGGCUUAACCUUGGAGGGGGGUGUAAUACUAUUUGGAUUCAGGAAGGUGUCGGGGUUUUCGGAACUCUCGGUGUAGGGGUGAAAUCCGUUGAUAUCGAGAGGAACACCAAGGGCGAAGGCAGAAAACUAGGCACUAUUCGACGCUGAGGAACGACAGCCAGGGGAGCGAAAGGGAUUAGAGACCCCUGUAGUCCUGGCCCGUAAACUAUGCUCGCUAGGGAUUCGUCCGUAACGACGAGUUCCGUAAGCUAACGCAAUAAGCGAGCCGCCUGGGGAGUACGAACGCAAGUUUAAAACUCAAAGGAAUUGACGGGAC